CCCUGCUACCCGCGACGCUGACACACCUCAACACGUCUACCUGUUUGACGACAUCCUGUCUCCAGUGGAGUAUGAUGCCCUGGAUGCUGCUGGUUCUAAGAUGGCCGCCCUGACCCCAGAGGAACUACAGAAGAUGACAGACGAUGGAGGGUGUCUGAGCGUGGUGCGUCAGUUGGAGAACCCUGCCAAGAGAGGGGCGUGGCCA